GGUUCCAUAGCUCAGGGGAUUAGGGCAUUGGUCUUGUAAACUAAUGGUUGUGAGCACAAAUCUCAUUGGGGCUU
rnacentral:tRNA from 1 species